CAAGAACUGAAUGAUUUCAUACCAAGGAUUAAGACUGUCCAACAAUUUAAUCAAGCAGGACUGGAAUCAGAUCACAUUGCGAGCAAGCCUAAAAGCGUUGGACUCGAAAAUUGAAAAAUCCCAACAAACUCAGUCCACAAGGACGUCGAUCGUUUAAGUGGAGGAGUGUCAGGGUUAUAGGGUUUUCAAGCAUUAAAAUUGUAAUUUUUCAAUAUUGAAAUUCCCAGGAAGCAAUAUU
rnacentral:lncRNA from 1 species